AGUGAACGCUGGCGGUAGGCCUAACACAUGCAAGUCGAACGGCAGCACAGAGGAGCUUGCUCCUUGGGUGGCGAGUGGCGGACGGGUGAGGAAUACAUCGGAAUCUACUCUGUCGUGGGGGAUAACGUAGGGAAACUUACGCUAAUACCGCAUACGACCUACGGGUGAAAGCAGGGGAUCUUCGGACCUUGCGCGAUUGAAUGAGCCGAUGUCGGAUUAGCUAGUUGGCGGGGUAAAGGCCCACCAAGGCGACGAUCCGUAGCUGGUCUGAGAGGAUGAUCAGCCAGACUGGAACUGAGACACGGUGCAGACUCCUACGGGAGGAAGCAGUGGGGAAUAUUGGACAAUGGGCGCAAGCCUGAUCCAGCCAUACCGCGUGGGUGAAGAAGGCCUUCGGGUUGUAAAGCCCUUUUGUUGGGGAAGAAAUCCAUCUGGUUAAUACCCGGGUGGGAUGACGGUACCCAAAGAAUGAGCACCGGCUAACUUCGUGCCAGCAGCCGCCGUAA
rnacentral:rRNA from 1 species